rnacentral:lncRNA from 1 species
CACACGCAUGCAGCCCUGCACCCUUGUGCCCCACAAAUUCACUCAGGUUUAGAGGGAAAGGAAUAAUGGCUCCUCAAACGGCAACAAACAGAGGCUGAUUGACAAGGAGGCCCCUCAUAAUCAGUGCUGCAGUAAACUAUCCUAAUUAUGGUGUCAAUUGGUAAGAUUAUAAAGGUUGAAGCUACAUAAUGAAAAAAAAGCACACACACAGGCAGAGCGAGUUCAGCAAACGUAAUUACAGGGUGACAUUAUUGGCAAAUAGUAUUUUAUGAGGUAUUAAGAGAGAUGUGGCAUAAACACAUUCCAAAACUAGCAGGCUCCCCAGGAGUGGGGGAACCCAGAACUGGUCAAAGACUCACCCCCAAACCCGUAAUCUGGCUAGCUGAGCGCUUUGGGGGAGCCCCUGAGGUCUUGUUGGCAUGUCCCAAAGGAGAAGAUGCUUUCAGGGCGGGGAGCAUGGCCCUCACGCUCUAAUUCCUGGCAUGCUGUACAGCAUCCUGUUCCUGGCCUGGCCUGAGCACUUUAGUCCUUAGAUCCUGAGAUCUCACACUGUCCAAGCCAGAAGGCGCCAGCGACGCUAUGUGGCUUUACAUACAGUGAGUGUGAUGGGAGAAUGGAAUCCUGUCCAUUCACUAUAGCACUGUUUACUGAUGUUCAACAGUAUUCACGGAACUCUGUGCCAGACACUGUUCUAGAAGCUCUGGCCAAGGUCUCUGCUGUCAUUGUGUUCACAUUCUGUGAGAGACUAAGCAAAUCACUAAGGCCAUGCCAGAGUCAAGGCGACACCAGGCGUUAUGCAGAAGACUGAACGGGCUAGAUUGUGCUUCGUGAUGGCAUGGUGGUCUCGGGAUAUGUGGACUUCUUCCACAGAGGCUGGCUUCCUCCAGAGUAAGCAUCACGAAAGGCCCAGUGGGGAGCUACAAGGUUCUCAGGACCCACCAAUGCAAGAACCAGAACAUCUUUUCUGUUGGGAUCUAUUGAUCAAGAACUCACCAAGGCCAUGCCAGAUUCAAGGGGAGAGAAAUUAGACUCCAGCCUUCAAUGGGAGGAGCAGCAAAGACUCUGCGGCCAUCCUUAAUCUACCAUACCUCCUCUGGAAGGAAACACAGCCUCUCCUAAAGGCCUGCUCAGCCUCUUCACCACUUAAUAAACAUGCCAUUCACGCUCA